GACGAACGCUGGCGGCACGCCUAACACAUGCAAGUCGAACGGUGCGAAGUAACUUGUUACUUCAAUCAGUGGCGGACGGGUGAGUAACGUGUGAGUAACCUACCUUCAAGUUGGGGAUAGCUUUUGGAAACGAAUGGUAAUACCCUAUAAUAUAUCGAAGUCGCAUGGUUUUGAUAUCAAAGUUUUUCGCUUGAAGAUGGACUCGCAUCUGAUUAGAUAGUUGGUGAGGUAACGGCUUACCAAGUCGACGAUCAGUAGCCGGACUGAGAGGUUGAACGGCCACAUUGGGACUGAGACACGGCCCAGACUCCUACGGGAGGCAGCAGUGGGGAAGAUUGCACAAUGGGGGAAACCCUGAUGCAGCGAUGCCGCGUGGAGGAAGAAGGUUUUCGGAUUGUAAACUCCUGUCUUAAAGGACGAUAAUGACGGUACUUUAGGAGGAAGCUCCGGCUAACUACGUGCCAGCCGCCGCUGUAACAC
rnacentral:rRNA from 1 species